rnacentral:rRNA from 1 species
CGCGUAGGCGGCCAAGCAAGUCCCGGGUGAAAUCCCUCGGCUCAACCGAGGGACUGCCUUGGAAACUGUUUGGCUCGAGGCCGGGAGAGGGUAGUGGAAUUCCCAGUGUAGCGGUGAAAUGCGUAGAUACUGGGAGGAACACCGGUGGCGAAGGCGGCUACCUGGACCGGUUCUGACGCUGAGGCGCGAAAGCGUGGGGAGCAAACA